rnacentral:rRNA from 1 species
AUUGAACGCUGGCGGCAUGCCUAACACAUGCAAGUCGAACGGAAGGCGGUAGCUUGCUACGGCCUUUAGUGGCGGACGGGUGAGUAACACGUAGGAAUCUGCCCUGGAGUGGGGGACAACCUGGGGAAACUCAGGCUAAUACCGCAUAAGCUCGCGAGAGGAAAGCGGGGGAUCGCAAGACCUCGCGCUGCAGGAUGAGCCUACGUCCGAUUAGCUGGUUGGCGGGGUAACGGCCCACCAAGGCGACGAUCGGUAGCUGGUCUGAGAGGACGACCAGCCACACUGGGACUGAGACACGGCCCAGACUCCUACGGGAGGCAGCAGUGGGGAAUAUUGGACAAUGGGCGCAAGCCUGAUCCAGCAAUGCCGCGUGGGUGAAGACGGCCUG